UCUUAGUGCCUGUGGGAUUAGUACUGCUACGAGAACAAAGCUCAUACUUCCAAAUUUUUCUUCAUUGUUACGAGAUAUAUAGGCUUCAUUGCACAGCGACUUGAUGCUCACUCACCUAGCAACAACUGAUUCAUGUAUCAGUUUACUGAAUUUCUUAUGUUCAUUAUUGAGUGCUACUCGAUCGGUGAUUCAUCCUCCCGAGAAAUUGAGUAUCAUAGUGCCACUAAUCCAAAGAAGACAUCGUGGGUUGGAAAUGGAGAGAAGAGUAAAGGCAGAAUGAGAAAGGAGUAAAGGAUUGCCUUCCACCAAGGGUAAUAACCAACCAACAAGGUGCCUGAAGAUAUUGCAAGAUUUUGAAAAGUGACAACUCGGAUAAAAUGGCAGUGUCUAAGCUCAUGUCUAUGUUUUAAUAUAUUCAUUAAGCUAGUCUUAUUGAUGGUUGUAUGUUGUGCCAUCCUUACUAAGGUCUUUUUGCUUAGUGAAGUUCAAGCUUUUUAUUCAUAUUUGUUUUCUUUAGAUCUUUUAGUUGUCUCUGGUAUUAGAACAAGAUCUUUUCAUGGAACUAUCGAGUAAUGAUUGUGAGAGAUUUCUAGGUUCUAACAAUUUUUUUUUA